AGGGUUUGAUCAUGGCUCAGGAUGAACGCUGGCGGCGUGCUUAACACAUGCAAGUCGAACGAACCUUCGGGUUAGUGGCGGACGGGUGAGUAACGCGUGAGAAUCUGCCCUCAGGAGGGGGAUAACGGUUGGAAACGACCGCUAAUACCCCAUAUGCCUACUGGUGAAAUGAAUUUCGCCUGAGGAUGAGCUCGCGUCUGAUUAGCUAGUUGGUGAGGUAAUGGCUCACCAAGGCUUCGAUCAGUAGCUGGUCUGAGAGGAUGAUCAGCCACACUGGGACUGAGACACGGCCCAGACUCCUACGGGAGGCAGCAGUGGGGAAUUUUCCGCAAUGGGCGAAAGCCUGACGGAGCAACGCCGCGUGAGGGACGAAGGCCUCUGGGCUGUAAACCUCUUUUCUCAAGGAAGAAGAUAUGACGGUACUUGAGGAAUAAGCCACGGCUAAUUCCGUGCCAGCAGCCGCGGUAAUACGGGAGUGGCAAGCGUUAUCCGGAAUUAUUGGGCGUAAAGCGUCCGCAGGCGGCUUUUCAAGUCUGCUGUUAAAGCGUGGAGCUUAACUCCAUCAUGGCAGUGGAAACUGAAAGGCUUGAGUAUGGUAGGGGCAGAGGGAAUUCCCGGUGUAGCGGUGAAAUGCGUAGAUAUCGGGAAGAACACCAGUGGCGAAGGCGCUCUGCUGGGCCAUUACUGACGCUCAUGGACGAAAGCCAGGGGAGCGAAAGGGAUUAGAUACCCCUGUAGUCCUGGCCGUAAACGAUGAACACUAGGUGUCGGGGGAAUCGACCCCUUCGGUGUCGUAGCUAACGCGUUAAGUGUUCCGCCUGGGGAGUACGCACGCAAGUGUGAA
rnacentral:rRNA from 1 species